rnacentral:rRNA from 1 species
AGAAGCAUUAAUGGUGGAUACCUCGGCUCCUAAAUCGAUGAAGACCGUAGCAAACUGCGAUAAAAGACCGUAGCAAACUGCGAUAAUUCACUUGAAUUGCAGACUACUGGGAAAGUCGAAUCGUUGAACGCACAUGAUAAUAUUGACUUUUUUAAAGUUAAAUAUUACACUUGAUUGAGAGUCGCU